UGGUCAUGGUCAGCCUUUUUAAGCAUGAGU
rnacentral:piRNA from 1 species